rnacentral:tRNA from 1 species
GGAGGGGUGGCCGAGCGGUUUAAGGCGACGGUCUUGAAAAUCGUUGCAGGGUUACACCCUGCCGAGAGUUCGAAUCUCUCCCCCUCCGCCA